AGGUCCCUUCCAACCCAGCAUUCCAUGCUUCUGUGAACUUCAAGGUCACUUCCAACCCUAUAUUCCAUGCUUCUGUGACCUUCAAGGUCACUCCCUUACCUACAUUCCAUGCUUCUGUGACCUACAAGGUCCCAUCCAACCCUACAUUCCAGGCUUCUGUGACCUACAAGGUCCCUGCCAACCCUACAUUCCAUGCUUCUGUGACCUUCAAGGUCACCUCCAACCCUACAUUCCAUGGUUCUCUGACCUUCAAGGUCCCUUCCA